rnacentral:lncRNA from 1 species
AUGGCCCUGCACCACAGCAACCCGUGGGCCCGAGCCCCUCAACGAGAGUGGAAGCUACUGGGUCAAGGACAAGUGGCUGCCCCCCUGCUCACUCAGUCAGGCCCUCACCUACUUCCUGGACAUCAUCAUCUGCCCAAGCCAGCUGCUGCUCCGAAAGCAGGCCUAGCUGACCAUGAAAGAGGACUAGAGACGGAGGUUGGAGACCUUGUGCCAGGCGAAGGACAGGAACUAUUUCCUCUCCAGUUUGGUCCUCUCAGCACCCUGGACAGCGCCCGGAACUUCCAGGCCUGCGUGGAGGCAAGGAGUGAAUAAAUGAAUGAAUAUCAGAUUGUGAC